CGCGGCCUAUCAGCUUGUUGGUGAGGUAACGGCUUACCAAGGCUUCGACGGGUAGCUGGUCCGAGAGGAUGAUCAGCCACACUGGGACUGAGACACGGCCCAGACUCCUACGGGAGGCAGCAGUAGGGAAUCUUGCGCAAUGGGCGAAAGCCUGACGCAGCAACGCCGCGUGCGGGAUGAAGGCCUUCGGGUUGUAAACCGCUUUCAGAAGGAACGAAACUGACGGUACUUUCAGAAGAAGGUGCGGCCAACUACGUGCCAGCAGCCGCGGUGACACGUAGGCACCAAGCGUUGUCCGGAUUUAUUGGGCGUAAAGAGCUCGUAGGCGGUUCAGUUAGUCGGGUGUGAAAACUCUGGGCUUAACCCGGAGAUGCCACCCGAUACUGCUGUGACUUGAGUUCGGUAGGGGAGUGGGGAAUUUCUAGUGUAGCGGCGAAAUGCGCAGAUAUUAGAAGGAACACCGGUGGCGAAGGCGCCACUCUGGGCCGAAACUGACGCUGAGGAGCGAAAGCGUGGGUAGCAAACAGGAUUAGAUACCCUGGUAGUCCACGCCGUAAACGUUGGGCACUAGGUGUGGGCCUCAACCAACGAGGUCCGCGCCGUCGCUAACGCAUUAAGUGCCCCGCCUGGGGAGUACGG
rnacentral:rRNA from 1 species